UUGGGCUUAGGUAUGUAUAUAAACAAGUUUCUAACUUGUUUUAGGGUUGGAACUUCAUAGUUACAGAUUUCCUAGAGAGAGAGCUAGAGGUUUCGAGUUGGUGGUGAUCAUUUGUACCAGACGGUUUUGCUUAUUCAAGUAAUAGAAUCGUGUGCAAGUGGUUAAAAGUGAUUCGGUUUGUUCUUCGUUUCAUAUUUUCGGUUACGAAAUUUAGGGCUUUUGGGUUUUCGAUGGUGUAGUCUAAACACAAAUGUGUAUCCAAAAAAUUAAUGUCAUCUAGGUGGUUUCAAAGAGGGUCCAGCUAGUCCAGAUGGCGGUGGGAGUGACGACAAUGGGGAGGACCUGACCCCGAGGUCGUCCAAUGUUCGAGAACAGGAUCAGUUUUUACCGAGUGCAAAUAUCAGUCCGAUUAUGAACAAAAGGUUACCAAGUAAUGGCAAAAUGUCAAAGGAUGCAAAGGAGACAGUUUAGGAGUGUGUUUUUGAGUUUAUCAGCUUCAUUGUUAGUGAGUUUGAACCUCUUAUAUGUGCUCAUGCCGGUGAUGCUUCGAAGGCCAUCCCUAACUCAGUUCUAUCCUUUAGGCGAAACUCACUUAGAAAUUUCAGUUAAGUCUUUUCAUGUGCACCACACACAAUGUGAUAUGAAGAACUUGACUGGUGAGGCAUGUUGCAGAGUUUGCCAGGAGAACUUCAUACCUACCGUCGCAGGUUUACACACGAUUGGGCGAAGGAAGAUAUUAUCCAUGAAUGCAACCUGAAAGAAAAAAAAAAGAAACGUGGAGUUGACAAGCAGCCGCAAUUAAUGGCAGGUAUAUAAUGGGGGCAGAAAUACAUGGAGCAAAACCACCAGGAGAAAGAUCAUGGGGCAGAAAUAUAUGGAACAAAACCACCAGCCGGAAACUGCCAGUAACUUCUCUAAAACGCCGUUGGAGCGGUUAUUUUUGCUAGUUUAACGGACAGGAUUUCAUCUCAGCAAGAUCUAAAGGCCAAGAAUGAUUUGAGAGUUGGUUUACACACGAUUGGGCGAAGGAAGGAAUUGUCCAUUGAUGCAACCUGAAAGAAAAAAAAGAUGGAGUUUACAACCAGCCGCAAUAAACAGGUAUAUAAUGGGGCAGAAAUAAUAGAGCAAGAUCAUGGGUCAGAAAUGUAUGGAACCAAACCACCACCGGAAACUAACAGGUUGAAGCAAUCGAACAACAAUUGAUUCUUCUCUAUGCGAUCUUUUUCCUUUUCCCGGUAACCAUGUCGAGUUUCUUGUCAUCUCCACUUAUGAAAAUUAAGUUUGUUCAUGAUAUUAUAGCUUAGUGUUAUUUUAGGAUAAGACAAGGCUUAAGGAUCAUUAGGUGCAGGGUUGGAUUUCCACAAAAAGGGUUUUUUUUUUUCUAGAUUUAUGGGUUUACUUUUGAAUUGGUGUAUAGACAUUAUAGCCCAGUGGAGUGGUCCCGCUGCUGGCACGAUCAUGCUCCAGUGGUCCGUCAGUGAUCCAAAUUUAUCAUUAAAAAUGAAAAUUAACUAACGGGGUAACUUUGUAGAAUAGUAACCAAGUUUUAAAAGUGUUACAAUCAAGUUACUCAACAUUCAUUCUUCAUUAAAAUUAAGG